CCAAGUGUCCACAAAGGGGAAGGGAUCAAAGGCAGUUCUGAGGUUCACUCUCUGAAGAAACUUAGGCAGAGACAUCCUGAUUCGUAGGAGACAAAGGCUUGGAGGACUGAUGUGAGAGUCCCGCAGAUGCAGGAGUUGUGUUUCGUGAACUGUUCUACCAUCAGCAUGGCACACAUGCUUCUUUUUUCCUUUAACAGAAGCAGCACGGAAAUGCACAAGGAGCAGAGGAAGGGUGUGGUCCAUCCCGGACAGGCUGAGCUCUUAUGCUGAAGAUCGCCACCCAGUGGGGACACGGGAAAUUCCAGCCCAGGGUGCCCAGCUGUGACCUAAUGAGGAAGCCUGUGGAUGGUGACAGAAAGCUGGCUAACAUAAGAGUCACUGAAGACUUUCAUCUUUCCUCUAAUAAAAUGGAGUCAGACAUUGUGCUGGCUGGUUUUGAGGGUCAACUUGACUGACAAGAAGCUCAAGCCAGAGAGGAGGGAGCCUCAGUUGAGGAAAUGCCUCCAUGAGAUCCAGCUGUGAGACAUUUUCUCAUUAGUGAUCAACGAGGGAGCCUAAUAAGGAGAGUGCUGUCCCUGGUCUGGUGGUCCUGGGUUCUAUGAGAAAGAAAGCUGCUAAGCCAUGUUAAACAAGCCAGUUACCAGCACCCCUCCAUGCCCCCUGCACAGCUCCUGCCUGCAGGCUCCAGCCCUGCUUUAGUUCCUGUCCUGACUUCCUCCAAUGAUGGACCAUGAUCUGGAAGUGUAAGCUAAAUAAAGCCUUUCCUCCCCAAC
rnacentral:lncRNA from 1 species